UUAGAGUUUGAUCCUGGCUCAGAUUGAACGCUGGCGGCAUGCCUUACACAUGCAAGUCGAGCGGCAGCGCGGGGGCAACCCUGGCGGCGAGCGGCGCACGGGUGAGUAAUGCAUCGGAACGUGUCCUCUUGUGGGGGAUAACCAGUCGAAAGACUGGCUAAUACCGCAUGAGAUCGAGAGAUGAAAGCAGGGGACCCGCAAGGGCCUUGCGCGAGAGGAGCGGCCGAUGCCCGAUUAGCUAGUUGGCGGGGUAAUGGCCCACCAAGGCGACGAUCGGUAGCUGGUCUGAGAGGACGACCAGCCACACUGGGACUGAGACACGGCCCAGACUCCUACGGGAGGCAGCAGUGGGGAAUUUUGGACAAUGGGGGCAACCCUGAUCCAGCCAUGCCGCGUGUGUGAAGAAGGCCUUCGGGUUGUAAAGCACUUUCGGACGGAACGAAAUCGCGCGAUCUAA
rnacentral:rRNA from 1 species